GACGAACGCUGGCGGCGUGCUUAACACAUGCAAGUCGAACGAUGAAGCCUAGCUUGCUAGGUGGAUUAGUGGCGAACGGGUGAGUAAUACGUGAGUAACCUACCUUUAACCCUGGGAUAAGCCUGGGAAACUGGGUCUAAUACCGGAUACGACCAAUCUCCGCAUGGGGUGUUGGUGGAAAGCGUUAUGUAGUGGUUAUAGAUGGGCUCACGGCCUAUCAGCUUGUUGGUGAGGUAACGGCUCACCAAGGCGACGACGGGUAGCCGGCCUGAGAGGGUGACCGGCCACACUGGGACUGAGACACGGCCCAGACUCCUACGGGAGGCAGCAGUGGGGAAUAUUGCACAAUGGGCGCAAGCCUGAUGCAGCGACGCCGCGUGAGGGAUGACGGCCUUCGGGUUGUAAACCUCUGUUAGCAGGGAAGAAGAGAGAUUGACGGUACCUGCAGAGAAAGCGCCGGCUAACUACGU
rnacentral:rRNA from 1 species